rnacentral:rRNA from 1 species
CCUACGGGUGGCAGCAGUGAGGAAUAUUGGUCAAUGGGCUUACGCCUGAACCAGCCAAGUCGCGUGAGGGAAGACUGCCCUAUGGGUUGUAAACCUCUUUUGUCAGGGAGCAACGCCGGCUACGUGUAGCCGGACUGAGAGUACCUGAAGAAAAAGCAUCGGCUAACUCCGUGCCAGCAGCCGCGGUAAUACGGAGGAUGCGAGCGUUAUCCGGAUUUAUUGGGUUUAAAGGGUGCGUAGGCGGAAUGCCAAGUCAGCGGUAAAAUCGCGGGGCUCAACCUCGCUCCGCCGUUGAAACUGGCGUUCUUGAGUGGGCGAGAAGUAUGCGGAAUGCGUGGUGUAGCGGUGAAAUGCAUAGAUAUCACGCAGAACUCCGAUUGCGAAGGCAGCUUUCUGGACUGAAACUGACGCUGAGGCUCGAAAGCGUGGGGAGCGAACAGGAUUAGAUACCCGGGUAGUC